ACCCAGAAAAAUUCAGAUUGAAACUUUUUUUUUUUUGGUACUCAGGUUCUAAUGGCAAAGGGCAGAAUCCUUUGGAAUACUUGACGUGCUUAAAAGUAAGUCCCUAGGCUUUCUAGGAGCACAGGUCACGAGUAUCCACGGAAUCUGCAGCCAAGCCCACGAGCAAAAGCCCGCUCCCUCCCUCCCUGACACAGAGCCACACUUUCAUUAGAAACAACGCGUGCCCUGGGAGGGAGGGCUGGGCAGACGUGGUGGCUUCAUCAGCGUGAGGAAGGGCCAGGGCAGCCGCAGAGCUGCGGCACCCAGCUGACCCUCCCUCCCCUCUGCUCUCUCUGCAGGAUGGGGGAAAUGGAUGCUGCUACUGAAAGCAUGCGGCCAAGCAGGAAGAGAAGUGGCAGAGAACUUCCACGGGGCGUAGGGACAGCCCUGCAAACCAGCACAGGCUGCAGCAAAGGGCACGGGAUCCCCUGCAACAAUCUCAAAUGGUUCAUCUGGCAAGUGCUGAUACUGCUAGAGCAGAGAGCGCCUGGUGAAUGUUCGCAGGAUCCCAAGGAAAGUCCUCCCGGAGUGCUCUGCAGCACGGGACACAGACGAUGAGUCCACCAACGUGCUGCUCCCAGGACCCAGUUCAAUGCUGCAACACCCGAGUGAGUAUCGGAUCUGGCCUCACCUCCAUGGAAGGCUCUGGCAGAGCACACAACGGGCACUCGGACUUUAAAGGUGCAGUAAGUCAAAAUAUAAAUGUUCUAGUAUGCCAAAUUCCCCCUUUUUAGUAUCUCAAGUAUGUAGAUAGAUGGUCUUCUAGAGGGGGAAGUAAGAGAAUGGAAAAAGAUUUUGUCUAGAAAUACAAAGUGAGUGUACCAAGGACUAUCAAACACAAACCUUGUCUGCUGAAGGAAAAGUUCUGGUUUUAAAAGUCUGUUACAAAUCUCUUCAAUAUUUAUUACAUUACAUGGAAGAUGCAAUUAAAACACCAUCUUGAAGUUACAGUGCAAGAAAUGCUCCGUCCGCUAGCUCACAAGAAGGCCCACAAUGACAGUCUGUUUGUUGUCACUUAUUUUCGAUCAGCGUCUGCACUUUGUAGACAAGGUCUCUCGCUAUCCUCAGAAUUUCCUCGGCGUUAUGAUGCUCUGCCAUUUC